rnacentral:rRNA from 1 species
AUUGAACGCUGGCGGCAUGCCUUACACAUGCAAGUCGAACGGUAACAGGUCUUCGGAUGCUGACGAGUGGCGAACGGGUGAGUAAUACAUCGGAACGUGCCUAGUAGUGGGGGAUAACUACUCGAAAGAGUGGCUAAUACCGCAUGAGAUCUGCGGAUGAAAGCAGGGGAUCGCAAGACCUUGUGCUACUAGAGCGGCCGAUGGCAGAUUAGGUAGUUGGUGGGAUAAAAGCUUACCAAGCCGACGAUCUGUAGCUGGUCUGAGAGGACGAUCAGCCACACUGGGACUGGGACACGGCCCAGACUCCUACGGGAGGCAGCAGUGGGGAAUGUUGGACAAUGGGCGCAAGCCUGAUCCAGCAAUGCCGCGUGCAGGAUGAAGGCCUCCGGGUUGUAAACUGCUUUUGUACGGAACGAAAAGCCCUGGGUUAAUACCCUGGGGUCAUGACGGUACCGUAAGAAUAAGCACCGGCUAACUACGUGCCAGCCGCCGCAGUAACAC